AGAGUUCGAUUAUGGCUCAGGACGAACGCUGGCGGCGCGCCUAACACAUGCAAGUCGAACGGAGCUAUUUUGGAAGAACCCUUCGGGGGGACUCUGGCUUAGCUUAGUGGCGGACGGGUGAGUAACACGUGAGCAACCUGCCUCUCAGAGGGGGAUAACGUUUGGAAACGAACGCUAAUACCGCAUGACAUCAUUUUCCCGCAUGGGGAGAUGAUCAAAGGAGCAAUCCGCUGAGAGAUGGGCUCGCGUCCGAUUAGAUAGUUGGCGGGAUAACAGCCCACCAAGUCGACGAUCGGUAGCCGGACUGAGAGGUUGAUCGGCCACAUUGGGACUGAGACACGGCCCAG
rnacentral:rRNA from 1 species